ACGUACGCUGGCGGCACGCCUAACACAUGCAAGUCGAACGAAGUAGCAAUACUUAGUGGCAGACGGGUGAGUAACAUGUAGGUAUCUGCCCUUUGGCCUGGAAUAACACGGGGAAACUUGUGCUAAUACCGAAUAAGCCCUUACGGGGAAGUUUUAAUGCCGAAAGAUGAGCCCGCACUUGAUUAGCUAGUUGGUAAGGUAAAGCUUACCAAGGCAACGAUCAAUAGCUGUUCUUAGAGGAAGACCAGCCACAUUGGGACUGAGACACGGCCCAGACUCCUACGGGAGGCAGCAGUGGGGAAUCUUGC
rnacentral:rRNA from 1 species